UACGUAGGGGGCUAGCGUUGUCCGGAAUCAUUGGGCGUAAAGAGCGCGUAGGCGGCCAGAUAAGUCCGGUGUGAAAGUCACAGGCUCAACCUGUGAAUGCCGCUGGAAACUGUCUGGCUAGAGUCCGGGAGGGGCGAGUGGAAUUCCUGGGUGUAGCGGUGAAAUGCGCAGAUAUCAGGAGGAACACCAAUGGCGAAGGCAGCUCGCUGGAACGGUACUGACGCUGAGGCGCGAAAGCGUGGGGAGCAAACAGG
rnacentral:rRNA from 1 species